ACGAAGGGUGCAAACGUUGCUCGGAAUCAUUGGGCGUAAAGCGCACGUAGGCGGCUUUGCAAGUCGGACGUGAAAUCCCUCAGCUCAACUGAGGAAGUGCAUCCGAAACUGCAAGGCUUGAGUACUGAAGAGGAUCGCGGAAUUCCCGGUGUAGAGGUGAAAUUCGUAGAUAUCGGGAGGAACACCAGUGGCGAAGGCGGCGAUCUGGGCAGAUACUGACGCUGAGGUGCGAAAGCGUGGGGAGCAAACAGGA
rnacentral:rRNA from 1 species